GAUGAACGCUGGCGGCGUGCCUAAUACAUGCAAGUCGAGCGAACGGACGAGAAGCUUGCUUCUCUGAUGUUAGCGGCGGACGGGUGAGUAACACGUGGAUAACCUACCUAUAAGACUGGGAUAACUUCGGGAAACCGUAGCUAAUACCGGAUAAUAUUUUGAACCGCAUGGUUCAAAAGUGAAAGACGGUCUUGCUGUCACUUAUAGAUGGAUCCGCGCUGCAUUAGCUAGUUGGUAAGGUAACGGCUUACCAAGGCAACGAUGCAUAGCCGACCUGAGAGGGUGAUUGGCCACACUGGAACUGAGACACGGUCCAGACUCCUACGGGAGGCAGCAGUAGGGAAUCUUCCGCAAAGGGCGAAAGCCUGACGGAGCAACGCCGCGUGAGUGAUGAAGGUCUUCGGAUCGUAAAACUCUGUUAUUAGGGAAGAACAUAUGUGUAAGUAACUGUGCACAUCUUGACGGUACCUAAUCAGAAAGCCACGGCUAACUACGUG
rnacentral:rRNA from 1 species